UCUGUGAAGCAGAAGAACUAGAUACCUUCUCAGGAACAAGAGGAACCCACACUUGUGCUUGAGGAGCCAGACUCCAUUUUAGGGUCCACAGCUGCAUCUCCUGUGAUCCUCAAAAGCAAGAAGGAUGAAAAAAUUACUUGAAGUGUUCUUGAUAACUCUGUGGCUUCAUGUGGCCAGAGUGAACAGCCAACAAGAAGAGAAAACUCAGACCUUGAGUAUCCAACAGGGUGAAAAUGCCACCAUGAACUGCAGUUACAAAUCUGACAUAAUCACCCUGCAGUGGUACAGACAGGAUUCUGGCAGAGGACCCACCAUGCUAAUUUUAAUAAGGUCAAAUGAGAGAGAAAGAAGCAGUGGACAGCUAAGAAUCACCCUGGACACCUCUGCCAGAAGCAGUUCCCUGUCCAUCUUGACUUCCCAGACUGAAGACACUGCUGCUUACUUCUGUGCCACAGAUGCACAGUGUUCAGUGUGCACCUGCAGCCUGACUCUAAGCUCAACAGAGCUGCUACCUAGAGGUCCCAGCACUGGGAGAGCUGUGUUAUGUCUAUGGGGGAUCGUCUAUGAGAUCAGGAAAGUGGAAUCCUCUCCCAUUGAUGAUUUCUUGGAAAUACCUGACACUUUUUCAAGGGCUAGAAUUUGGAGUGGUAAAAUGAAAUGUCAGGCUCAGAUCUGGCCCUCCUGCCAGCUGAUCUCAAGCUCAUCUUCAAUGCAGUGGCUUUCUAAGUCCUCACUUGUUGUGAAGGGCAAGGAUUCCUAA